CAGCCGCCACGGUAAUACAGAGGGUGCAAGCGUUAAUCGGAUUUACUGGGCGUAAAGGGCGCGUAGGUGGUUAUGUAAGUGAGAUGUGAAAUCCCCGGGCUCAACCUGGGAACUGCAUCUUAUACUGCGUAGCUGGAGUGCAGUAGAGGGUAGUGGAAUUUCCGGUGUAGCGGUGAAAUUCGUAGAUAUUCGGAAGAACACCAGUGGCGAAGGCGACUCGCUGGACAAGUAUUGACGCUGAGGUGCGAAAGCGUGGGGAGCAAACAGGAUUAGAUACCCCUGUAGUCCCUGUCUCUUAUAC
rnacentral:rRNA from 1 species